rnacentral:lncRNA from 1 species
UCCAGUCUUAUUGACCAUUCUUCUUUUUUUUUCAACGACUGAUGGAUUUUAUAUUUGGAUACACUUCCACAUUUGAAGCUCAUUCAUUUUUUUUGUUUCUCAUGUCAAUCUCAUUGGCCAUAUUCUCUAAAAGUUCCUUACUUGCUACCCUGUGUUUCCUCUUAAAUAAAGUCUGAGAUGAUAUAUAGCCUUCUCCAUGUAAUACCCUGAGAUUCUAACCAAUAGUGCAA